GUGGGUCUCCUGAAGCGCGACGACAUCACAGAGCUAGGUGGAAUCGGUCGGAACCACUGCGUGUUGAAGACAAAACUGUAUUAACUUAGCCUUAUGGAGAUGGUGUUCAGUAAGCAUAAUUGGUUUUCGUAACGUUAGAAGUAUACGGGGCAACGAGAAAGAUGGACUUAGCCUUCAAGAGUCACACUCCACGGAGUUCUCCGCUCACCAGUAGUUUGACCUCACCGUAGUUGCAGUGGGCGAGAUCCUGGUGGUGGGGUCGUUUCUGGCUGAACAAGUGGCAAUCGGAUGGAUAAACGACUCUACACUUCUCGGGAGAGGAACAAAACAAUGAUCAUGUCGGUUUUACCCUUGAAGAAAUUGAGACGCAACGGCAGAUAUCUUUUUGGAGUGAUCCUGGUCUUGGGGUUUGUCGCAGUCUUCCACGAGUUCGUCGCUGCAAAUACAUGGAGCAACAACCACCCCAAUGCUGCAACAGGAGAACUUAUUGGAGGGAGAGUACCAGAUGGGGGGGUGGCGGCGGGCUGCCCAAAGGGUUCGGAGCAGGAUUUGACCGCACUGCGUUCCCGCUUUACAGCGCAGGCUUGGAAGGCUGAGGUGUGCAGCCUCACCCAGCCCAUCAUGCUGACUCAGGCCAGGUGACGCUGCCUCAAGCAUCAAUCAUCCACACACACACACGAC
ensembl:lncRNA